GGGAAAAGUCAUGACAUCGAUAUGCUAUCAAACGUCAAAUAGUAAACAAGGGGCAAACGAAGUAACGACGCACGUCACUGCCAUAUGACUAUGUUCCACCAAUGAAGCAGUUGCUACAUACACUCAAAUAUUUUGCUUCUUGUGAUUUAUUUCUGUCCAUUGGAGACUUCAUUGGUAUUGGCAAGGGGACAGACAACAUAAGUACUAAAAGUGGACGACAUGCACAAGAGACAAUUUUUUAAUUAUUUCAGUUCUCUGAUAUAAUUAAAAGAAAAGAAAAUAAACAAUGCAUAUUGAUUAAUAUAUUUUUAUUCUGAAAUCAUUUGGCUUAA